AACGGGGUGAGGGGCUUGCUUCUCACCUAGUGGCGCACGGGUGAGUAACGCGUGGAUAAUCUACCCGAUACACUGGGAUAACAUCUCGAAAGGGGUGCUAAUACCGGAUAAGCCCACGGAGACUGCGGUCUUUGCGGGAAAAGGUGGGGACCUUCGGGCCUGCCGAUAUCGGAUGAGUCCGCGUCCCAUUAGCUAGUUGGCGGGGUAAAGGCCCACCAAGGCGACGAUGGGUAGCUGGUCUGAGAGGAUGAUCAGCCACACUGGAACUGAGACACGGUCCAGACUCCUACGGGAGGCAGCAGUGGGGAAUUUUGCGCAAUGGGGGAAACCCUGACGCAGCAACGCCGCGUGAGUGAUGAAGGCCCUUGGGUCGUAAAGCUCUGUCAGUGGGAACGAAGUGUCGGCGGCCAAUACCCGACCGAUUUGACGGUACCCACAAAGGAAGCACCGGCUAACUCCGUGCCAGCAGCCGCGGUAAUACGGAGGGUGCAAGCGUUGUUCGGAUUUAUUGGGCGUAAAGGGCGUGUAGGCGGUUUGUUAAGUCUGAUGUGAAAGCCCCGGGCUCAACCUGGGAAGUGCAUUGGAAACUGGCAGACUUGAGUACGGGAGAGGGCAGUGGAAUUCCUAGUGUAGGAGUGAAAUCCGUAGAUAUUAGGAGGAACACCGGUGGCGAAGGCGGCUGCCUGGACCGAUACUGACGCUGAGACGCGAAAGCGUGGGGAGCAAACAGGAUUAGAUACCCUG
rnacentral:rRNA from 1 species